GUGAUUGUAGCUCAGCAGGUUAGAGCGCAGGAUUGUGGUUCCUGAGGUCGCCGGUUCGAUCCCGGUCAGUCACC
rnacentral:tRNA from 1 species